CGUGAGAUGUUGGGUUAAGUCCCGCACGAGCGCAACCCUUGUCCUUUGUUGCCAGCGGGUAAAGCCGGGAACUCAAAGGAGACUGCCAGUGACAAACUGGAGGAAGGCAGGGAUGACGUCAAGUCAUCAUGGCCCUUACGGUCAGGGCUACACACGUGCUACAAUGGGGCGUACAGAGGGAAACGAUACCGCGAGGUGGAGUGGAACCCAAAAAGCGUCCCUAAGUUCGGAUUGGAGUCUGCAACUCGACUCCA
rnacentral:rRNA from 1 species